rnacentral:rRNA from 1 species
AGCGAACGCUGGCGGCAGGCCUAACACAUGCAAGUCGAACGAACCUUUCGGGGUUAGUGGCGGACGGGUGAGUAACACGUGGGAACGUGCCUUUAGGUUCGGAAUAACUCAGGGAAACUUGUGCUAAUACCGAAUGUGCCCUUCGGGGGAAAGAUUAAUCGCCUUUAGAGCGGCCCGCGUCUGAUUAGCUAGUUGGUUGAGGUAAUGGCUCACCAAGGCGACGAUCAGUAGCUGGUCUGAGAGGAUGAUCAGCCACAUUGGGACUGAGACACGGCCCAAACUCCUACGGGAGGCAGCAGGGGGGAAUCUUGCGCAAGGGGCGAAAGCCUGACGCACCCAUGCCGCGUGAAUGAUUAAGGUUUUAGGUUUGUAAAAUUCUUUCCCCGGGGACGAUAAUGACGGUACCCGGAAAAGAAGCCCCGGCUAAUUUCGU